GUUCAGCUGACGAGUCCCAAAUAGGACGAAACGCUCAUCAACCUGGAU
rnacentral:hammerhead_ribozyme from 1 species